rnacentral:rRNA from 1 species
UAGGGAAUCUUCCACAAUGGACGCAAGUCUGAUGGAGCAACGCCGCGUGAGUGAAGAAGGUUUUCGGAUCGUAAAGCUCUGUUGUUGGUGAAGAAGGAUAGAGGCAGUAACUGGUCUUUAUUUGACGGUAAUCAACCAGAAAGUCACGGCUAACUACGUGCCAGCAGCCGCGGUAAUACGUAGGUGGCAAGCGUUGUCCGGAUUUAUUGGGCGUAAAGCGAGCGCAGGCGGAAUGAUAAGUCUGAUGAGAAAGCCCACGGCUCAACCGUGGAACUGCAUCGGAAACUGUCAUUCUUGAGUGCAGAAGAGGAGAGUGGAAUUCCAUGUGUAGCGGUGGAAUGCGUAGAUAUAUGGAAGAACACCAGUGGCGAAGGCGGCUCUCUGGUCUGCAACUGACGCUGAGGCUCGAAAGCAUGGGUAGCGAACAGG